rnacentral:tRNA from 1 species
GGGCCGCUAGCUCAACUGGUAGAGCAGCUGACUCUUAAUCAGCAGAUCUUCCAAAUCGAGCAGGGCCA